rnacentral:lncRNA from 1 species
AGUUCAGCAGCCCCAGGCCGCCUGGCGCCCGGCGGGUCCGGGUCGAGGAGGCCCUGCCCGACCCACUGUUCGGAUCUGUGGCGCCGACUCUCAGGUGCGCUGCGCCGGGUCUGGCGAGAUCUCGAGGACAGGACCGGCCUGGAGGGAAGCUCACCCGUCCCGCAGCGCCUCGGAUUAGAAGACUCUCGCUGAAACCCCAGAGCCGCCGCCGCGCCGCGGAUGACAACACCACUCGAGCCGCCGCAGCCGCCAUUUCUGCUAGAAGGAAGGUAGAGGAUGAAGGAUGUGCUUCCGGGGUCGCGACCUGAGGUCCCAGAGCAGGGAGGUGGGCUCCACCUUGUGGCCGUGAUGGGAAUGACACUCCUCGAAGCGGUUGUGAAAGCAAUCAGGGCCCGACCAUGAUGCUGAGCGGUCUUUACCAAAUGAAUUGGGGAGUCUGCAGAAGCCCCUUUAUCAUCAGUUAUUUUAUCGAUCGCCUACUAAGUGCAAGGCACAAAUGCGGUGGAAUGAAAGGUAACCUGAUGCAAUAUAUCUCACUGGUGGAUGGAAUUGAUUGAAAACAGUGGAAUAAUAUUCAUAAGUCACUGCCUUUAAAGGAAAAGUCUAGUGGGAGAGACAGAUGCCGUGAGGGGAGGAAACGAUGUAUCCGUGUUGACCACUAUCCACUCUUCGAACCUCUACAAUAUGGCUCAUCUCAUUCCAUAGAAAUUGCCCUUGACUCAUCUCCCUCCACCUACCCGGCUGCUAUGCUUCGCAGGUUCAGUCCACAAGACUCAUGAUGUAAUGUAAUAAAGGACGACCAAGGUUAUUCUCUCAUGUUUCUAAAACAAAUGUGUGUUAACCAAAAAUAAAUACAAACAUGCAUACAUAUAUACAAAAACAUGUAGGUAUAAUCACAGGAAGCACCUAGGAAGUUUUAGCAAGAAUUUGUAUUCAAUUCUAAUAUACUUCAUGGUAUUAAUUUAUUAGUCAUUAUUUACAGUCAAUAUCUUAGAACAUAAAGCCUACAGAAAUUAAGUGCACCAGAGUAGAGCCAAGAAAUCAAAGAAUUUGACUACUCCCAAAAUAGCCCUACACCCACAACAGUAUCCAUAACUUUUUUUCUUUUUUUUUUUUUUGAGACGGAGUUUCUCUCUUGUUGCCCAGGCUGGAGUGCAAUGGUGCAAUCUCAGCUCACUGCAACCUCCGCCUCCGGGGUUCUAGCAAUUCCCUUGCCUCAGCCUCCCAAGUAGCUGGGAUUACAGGUGCCCACCACCACACCCGGCUACUUCUUGUACUUUUAGUAGAAACGGGGUUUCACCAGUUUGGCCAGGCUGGUCUUGAACUCCUGACCUCAAGUGAUCCUCCCGCCUCAGCCUCCCAAAGUGCUGGGAUUACAGGCGUGAGCCACUGCACCUGGCCUAUUUUAAAUGAUUUCUUCACUGACUGGAUUUUACUGGCAGAGUCAUUGCUAUUUUUGUUGUUUGGAAAUUUUAAUCAUGGAUGUCAUAUUCCUUUAAUUCUUUCAUGUUUGAGGAUGUCUGCUUUUAUCUUUAUACUUGAAUGACAUUUUUGUCUGGAUUUAAUAUUGUUGGGUCACAGUUUCAUUUUCUCAGAAUUUUAUAAACAUUACUCCAUUAUGCUCUUGAGUUAAAUGUUUUGGAGAAGUCUGAGGCUAGCCAGAUUUUUUCUUUUUUUACCACCCUUAAAUGUGACCUGUUUUAUCUGCCUAAAAACCUAAAAAAUUAUUCUUGAAGUUCAGUAACUUAACUAGGCUAUAUCUUAAUGUUGAGUAAUUUUUGUGUUGUGAUUUUUAUCAAAAUUUUCAAAAACAUAAUAUGUUUUCAUUCUGCAGUUUCACUUCUUCCUUCAUUUUAGAGAAAGUCUCUUUGAAUACAUAUUCUGGCAUUCCAUUCAGUAUGUUAUCUUUUCAAGGACUGCAGCUCUCCUUAUGCUGAAUGACUUUAUCUGUCCUUCAUAUUUAUUAGCAUCUCUCUAACUUUUUAAAGCUUUGUCAUUUUCCUCUACUUUUUUUGUGAUUAUCUCAAGACACAAGUAGGCCUACGCAAACAUGCCCUACUAAUUUUUAGCAAACGUGCAGAGGCAAUUCAAUAGAUGAAGAAUAGCAUUUCAACAAAUGCUGCUGGAACAAUUAGAUGUUCAUAUCCACGGCUCCCCGCUCCCCAACUCCCAAUGAACCUAAACCUCACACUUUAUACAAAAAUUAACUCAAAAUAAAUCAUGGAUGCAAAUAUGUGACAUAAAACUAUAAAACUUUUAGAAAAACACGUAGGAUAAAAUAUUUGGGAUAUAGGAAUAGACAAGGAGUUUUUAGACCUGAUAUCAAAAAUAUAAUGCUUAAAACAAGAUUAAAGCCAGGCGCGGUGGCUCACGCCUGUAAUCCCAACACUUUGGGAGGCCAAGACAGGCAGAUCACCUGAGAUCAAGAGAUCGAGACCAUCCUGGCCAACAUGGUGAAACCCCUUCUCUACUAAAAAUACAAAAAUUAGCUGGGCAUGGUGGCACGCACCUGUAGUCCCAGGUAUUGAGAGGCUGAGGCAAAAGAAUCGCUUGAACCUGAGAGGCAGAGGUUGCAGUUAGCUGAGAUCGUGCCACUGCACUCCAACCUGGUGACAGAGGAAAACUCCAUCUCAAAACAAACAAACAAACAAAAAAAACAAGAUUAAAAGCUUUUGCUCUAAAAAAGAUGCUGUUAAGAGGAUGAAAAGACAAGCUACAGACUGGGAGAAAAUAUUUGCAAACCACAUAUUCAGCAAAGGACCUGUGUCUGAAUUAUGCAAAAAAACCCUCUCAAAAACAGUGAAAAAAAAUGGGCAAAAGACAUGAACAGACAUUUCACUGAAGGAGAAAUACAGAUGGCAGAUAAGCACAUGAAAAGAUGUCCAAUAUCAUCAAUCAUUACAAAAUGCAAAUUAAAAUGAUGAGCUAUCGCUACACAUGUAGCAGAAUGGCUCAAGUGAAAAACAGCAAUAACACCACAUGCUGGCAAGGAUAUAGAAAAACAAGAUCACUCAUACAUUACUAGUGGGAAUAUAAAACUCCAGAGUAGUACAGCCACUUAUUAUACAACCCAGUAAUUGAACUCCUGGGCAUUUAUCCCAGAAAGAUGAAAACUGAAGUUUACACAAAAACAUCUACACAUAUAUUCAUAGCAGCUUUACUCAUGAUAGCCAAUAAUUGGAAAUAAUGCAAAUGUCCUUCAACAGGUGAAUGGUUAAACACACUGUGGUACAUUCGUACCACGGAAUACUACUCAGCUCUCAAAAGGAAUGAACUACUGAUAAAUGCAACAACUUGAAUGGGCCUCAAGGGAAUUAUGACAAUACCAAAAGGUUAUAUGCUAUAUGAUUCCAUUUAUAUAACAUUCCUGAAAUGACAGAAUUAUAGAGAUGGAGAAUAGACUCGUGAUUCCCCAAGGGUUGGACUGGGGAGGGGAGAAGCGCAGGGACAAGAGGGAGAUGAGUAUGGCUAUGAAAGCGUGGCAUGAGAGGUUCUUGAAGCAAUGGGACCAUUCUCUAUUUCAACUGUGCUGCUAGUUACACGAAUGUACACAUGUAAAAUUGCAUAGCAUUAAAUACACACAAAUGAACGCACAUAAAACUGGUAAAAUAUGAAUCAGUUCAGUGUAUCGUAUCGACGUCAAUUUCCUGGUUGUGAUAUUGUUUCUAUUCAUGCAAGAUGUUAUUGUUGGGGCAAACUGGAUGAAAAGUAUAUGGGAUCUCUCUGUAUUAUUUCUUACAGCUACAGGUGGACCUACAAUUAUCUCAAAAUAAAAAGUUUAAUUAAAAAAAAUGAGGUUACAUUUCCAAAACCUUUUUCUUUUUAUGGGAAGGGGACAGUGGGAGAAGAAUACUGCUUUCUAUCUGUUGACAAUUAUGUAUUAUAGUCAUGCAUUCAAGUACACACACACACAUCACCAGAGCUCUUACACAAAUUGAAAUAGGAAGAGAAUCUCA